rnacentral:rRNA from 1 species
AUUGAACGCUGGCGGCAUGCCUUACACAUGCAAGUCGAACGGCAGCGGGCCCUUCGGGGUGCCGGCGAGUGGCGAACGGGUGAGUAAUGCAUCGGAACGUACCCGGGAGAGGGGGAUAACCGGCCGAAAGGCUGGCUAAUACCGCAUGAACUCGGAAGAGCAAAGCGGGGGACCUUCGGGCCUCGCGCUCUCGGAGCGGCCGAUUUCCGAUUAGGCUAGUUGGUGGGGUAAAGGCACACCAAGGCGACGAUCGGUAGCGGGUCUGAGAGGACGAUCCGCCACACUGGGACUGAGACACGGCCCAGACUCCUACGGGAGGCAGCAGUGGGGAAUCUUGGACAAUGGGCGCAAGCCUGAUCCAGCAAUGCCGCGUGGGUGAAGAAGGCCUUCGGGUUGUAAAGCCCUUUCGGCGGGGAAGAAAUCGGUCAGGCGAAUAGUCUGGCCGGAUGACGGUACCCGCAGAAGAAGCACCGGCUAACUACGUG